UGAGUGUUAUGAUGGUGGAGUUCUUAUGCUCUUAGUCUAGCUCUGGUCUACCGCUAGGAACUUUCCUAGCGG
rfam:Streptococcus sinensis strain HKT4 scaffold23, whole genome shotgun sequence.